AGAGUUUGAUCCUGGCUCAGGACGAACGCUGGCGGCGUGCUUAACACAUGCAAGUCGAACGAUGAAGCCCUUCGGGGUGGAUUAGUGGCGAACGGGUGAGUAACACGUGGGCAAUCUGCCCUGCACUCUGGGACAAGCCCUGGAAACGGGGUCUAAUACCGGAUAACACCCCCUCUCGCAUGGGAGGGGGUUGAAAGCUCCGGCGGUGCAGGAUGAGCCCGCGGCCUAUCAGCUUGUUGGUGAGGUAGAAGCUCACCAAGGCGACGACGGGUAGCCGGCCUGAGAGGGCGACCGGCCACACUGGGACUGAGACACGGCCCAGACUCCUACGGGAGGCAGCAGUGGGGAAUAUUGCACAAUGGGCGAAAGCCUGAUGCAGCGACGCCGCGUGAGGGAUGACGGCCUUCGGGUUGUAAACCUCUUUCAGCAGGGAAGAAGCGAAAGUGACGGUACCUGCAGAAGAAGCGCCGGCUAACUACGUGCCAGCAGCCGCGGUAAUACGUAGGGCGCAAGCGUUGUCCGGAAUUAUUGGGCGUAAAGAGCUCGUAGGCGGCUUGUCACGUCGGUUGUGAAAGCCCGGGGCUUAACCCCGGGUCUGCAGUCGAUACGGGCAGGCUAGAGUGUGGUAGGGGAGAUCGGAAUUCCUGGUGUAGCGGUGAAAUGCGCAGGUAUCAGGAGGAACACCGGUGGCGAAGGCGGAUCUCUGGGCCAUUACUGACGCUGAGGAGCGAAAGCGUGGGGAGCGAACAGGAUUAGAUACCCUGGUAGUCCACGCCGUAAACGGUGGGAACUAGGUGUUGGCGACAUUCCACGUCGUCGGUGCCGCAGCUAACGCAUUAAGUUCCCCGCCUGGGGAGUACGGCCGCAAGGCUAAAACUCAAAGGAAUUGACGG
rnacentral:rRNA from 1 species